GGGUGAAAGUACGGACUAACUUGAAGCACGUUGUAUAGGAUAACUCCCUCCUGGAAAAGCCAGGGAGCCUCGAGACCGUACUCUGCAACUUCGCGGGAAGAAACCCUAGUUUCUUGAUUGCGCCACAGAAGAAAGUGCUUUUCACAAGGACAUGAACAAUGGUUCCUCUUCCAAAAUGCACGGUCCAGAUCAACCUGAAAUAAGUGGGCCCGCGCCUGCGCCUAAAUCUCUGCGCACGAAAAUGGGCAAACCGGAAGACAGUGAAAAGAAGAUUUUUCAUAAGAAACUCAAAGAUGUUGAGAUUAGUGUUCCGAUAGUGUAUGGCAAUAUUGCAUUCUGGCUCGGUAAGAAGGCGAACGAGUACCAAUCACACAAGUGGACUGUGUACGUUCGUGGGGCAACCAAUGAGGAUCUUGGAGUGGUGAUAAAACGUGCUGUUUUUCAGCUGCAUUCCAGUUUCAAUAAUCCCACAAGGGUGGUUGAGUCACCACCAUUUGAAUUGUCAGAAUGUGGCUGGGGUGAAUUUGAAAUCGCCAUUACGCUUUUCUUCCACAGUGAUGUUUGUGAUAAGCCAUUAAACUUAUUUCAUCAUUUGAAGUUGUACCCAGCGGAUGAGUCCGGUCCUAUGUCAACUAAAAAGCCUGUUGUUGUGGAAUCAUAUGAUGAGAUAGUGUUCCCUGAGCCUUCAGAUGCAUUCUUAGCUCGUGUGCAGAAUCAGCCAGCUGUAGUCAUUCCCAGACUACCUGCUGGUGUUGCUUUGCCUCCUCCUGUGCCAGUUGAGGAUCCAAGUAACAGAAAGAGAGGGGACACUAAAGAUCAUCCCCUAUGCCAGUGGUUCACGAACUUUUCAGAAGCAGAUGAGCUGUUACGACUUGUAACAGCUCGUCAGCAGGUUAUGAAUCCUGAAUCUUGCAAGGAUCUAUUGAGAUGAAUCACAUGUUGUUGAGAUCUGGAACAUAUUUGAUGUUUUGGCAUUAGUCGGCAGUUCAAGCUCAUAUUGCUAAAUUUCGAAGAGAGAUAACUCUGCUAGAGGGGCAACAUCAACAAGUGAAUUCUGUCUCCGACCAGUGACUGUACAUUAUCCUGCAGAUUUAUGAAGAUUUCAAUUUCAAAUUGUUUCCGUGGUAGAUUCAUUCAAAUGACUCGCAGCAGACGCACAUGGUGGCACACAAAUGUAGCGACUACAUGUAUUUUCUCAGCUAUGGCGAGUUUUUUUUUUUUUACUGUCCUUUUUUUUUCCUCUCUCUCUCUCUCUCUCUCGUUAAUUUGUUGUCUUCUUUAUUGCAAUGCGGCAUGUAUCGGUAAACGAUUUAAAGGAAGAACGUAAAAGGUGUAUCUUUUAUGUUCUUUUAUGUCAAGAAAAGAGAGGAUAUUGGUUUACUUUGACAAUUAACAUUGAUGGUUCAACUUGUCGGUGUUAGUUAUCUGAAAGUACAUAUGAAGAGAAUAGAGUAGGUAUGAAAUUUGAGGUGUUUGAUUUUAGGUA